GAUGAAGAACGUAGCGAAAUGCGAAAAGUAGUGUGAAUUGCAGAAUUCAGUGAAUCAUCGAAUCUUUGAACGCACAUUGCGCCCCUUGGUAUUCCAUGGGGCAUGCCUGUUCGAGCGUCAUUUGUACCUUCAAGCUCUGCUUGGUGUUGGGUGUUUGUCCCGCGUUGUGCGUGGACUCGCCUCAAAGCAAUUGGCAGCCGGCGUACUUGCCUGGGAGCGCAGCACAUUUUGCGUCUCUCGGCCUGAACGCUUGCGUCCAUUAAGCGUAUAUUUUUGCUCUUGACCUCGGAUCAGGUAGGGAUACCCGCUGAACUUGAGCAUAUCAAUAAGCGGAGGA
rnacentral:misc_RNA from 1 species